UACGAAGGGGGCUAGCGUUGCUCGGAAUCACUGGGCGUAAAGCGCACGUAGGUGGAUCGCUAAGUCAGGGGUGAAAUCCUGGAGCUCAACUCCAGAACUGCCUUUGAUACUGGCAAUCUCGAGUCCGGGAGAGGUGAGUGGAACUGCGAGUGUAGAGGUGAAGUUCGUAGAUAUUCGCAAGAACACCAGUGGCGAAGGCGGCUCACUGGCCCGGUACUGACGCUGAGGAGCGAAAGCGUGGGGAGCGAACAGG
rnacentral:rRNA from 1 species